UUACCAAGCUGCAGAGGUAGAGAUCGG
rnacentral:piRNA from 1 species